GAUUGAAGCUAUAAUCCAGACAAGGAAAUAAACUAAUUUCAUCAUAAACCAGCCAUGGCACGUUGUGGCUCAUAAGAUUUCUCACAGAGGAGUCAACAGAAUAAUUAGCAGUUUUGUCCAGGAGCCCUUUUCAGAGAGCUGCAGAAGGACAUGGAAAAAGCAGGUACAGUUUUCAUGUCAAAGUUAAAUGUGUAAAAUCUGUGUUAAGUCCAACGUGGAUGUAAUAAAAACUAAUUGGUAAGAUUUCAAAGGGAUAUAAUUGUAUAGUUAUGUUACAGUUUCAAAUUUGCUGUCCAAAAGGACAGUCUGCAAAGUGCUGUCCUUUUGCUGACCCCAAACAAUACUGGUGUCAAGCCAAUUAAAUCGCUCUUCUUUGGUCAUGUGACACCGCUGCUCGGUUUGCAGUCUGAAAGCAAGCCAAGCAGCAUGGCUUCCUCCAAAUCACAGAGAGUGAGCUUUUAGGGAUGAACACCCUGAAAUGGAUGUUAGCAAUGCUAAUAGUGGCAGUUUAGAUGAACAACUCGCAUAGGUUGCAGACCAGGUGAAACCUUGGCUUGAUCUUGAAACUCCUGAUGAACACCCUGAUGUGAAGGAUGACUGCCUAGCCACAUGGAAAUGCCUGUUGUUUUUAUUGUUUUCGUUGCUUCAGACAUUGUAAUUUCAGUGGUCACCAAAGAUCCUGGGGAAAUCAGCCCAUUUGCCACAAAAACCACUCAUUUUAUUAGCUUCAGCAUUUAUGGUGGCAAUUUGCAUGGAGUCUAGGUUGGUGCAAACUCACAUCAGAUAAAAAUGAAAUGGUUGACAGUGUACCUCUAAUUUUCUUAUACAGUUUAUAUUCCAAAAUAUUACAAACAAAUUUAUAAUUUUAGAACAACACAAGUCCAGACUUGUACAUUGAAUGCCUUUGUAGUCUCCAGCCUCACUGGAGAAGGCUGAUCUGAUGACGUUCACCUCACAAGAUGGAAGAGGCUUGCAGAUGUCACCCAAUGGUGCCAUGUUCCCAUUGAUUCAUCUCCCUAAAGAUGUAUGGGGUCGUCCUGCUUCCUAAAUGUGUGAGAAGACAGCCCUGGUACAUUAGGAGUCAAACAGCAACUCUUAAAUCCAGGAUGGCCUGUUACACCCAGGUUAUGAGGAACCAGGGUAUACAGGCUGAGCAAGUACUGCCUGAAUGCUUCAGAU